AUGUGGAUUCUGAGCCCUAGCUUGUUUCUAGUUUGUCCUAUUGCUUCCUCUUCGCUUUCUUCCUCCUGCACUCAUGGUUCACAGGAGCUCAGUGAAUUCUGUAUAUUUCAGGGGACAGGAGAUGGUUUGAUAACAUGUGAGGAUCCCAGCCUUCUCAUCCUGCCCACCAAAGUGGAUCUGGCUCUUACCCCACUGUCCCUGCUCCCAAGACAGACUGCAGGGUUCUGCCUUUGUCACUUUGGCUCCAGGAUUUGGCACAAAGACAAGGAACAAUAACCACUCGCACGGGCUGGCGGAGACGGAGAACAAGAUACAGAGCCAUCGUUCAACUUCACCCAUCUCACCGCAACCUCAUAAAAAUUAAGGAAUAAUUUUUCAAAGAGAUAAGGGCUGCAGGGACAUGAAAAGCAAAACAACCAAACUGUUUCUGCCCUGAGGAGGUACACACAGGAUGGGAAGGGAUUUCUUUUCCCAUUUUUAAUUUACAAGAACCUUGUAAACCACAAAUUAAAGCAGC
rnacentral:lncRNA from 1 species